rnacentral:rRNA from 1 species
GAUGAACGCUGGCGGCGUGCCUAACACAUGCAAGUCGAACGGAGAUUACGGACGGAAGUUUUCGGAUGGAAGCCUGUAAUUCUUAGUGGCGGACGGGUGAGUAACGCGUGGGCAACCUGCCCUAUACAGGGGGAUAGCAGCUGGAAACGGCUGGUAAGACCGCAUAAGUCGGUUAAAUCGCAUGAUUUGAUCGGGAAAUGAGCAAUCAGGUAUAGGAUGGGCCCGCGUCCGAUUAGCCAGUUGGCAGGGUAAAAGCCUACCAAAGCGACGAUCGGUAGCCGGACUGAGAGGUCGGACGGCCACAUUGGGACUGAGACACGGCCCAAACUCCUACGGGAGGCAGCAGUGGAGGAUAUUGCACAAUGGAGGAAACUCUGAUGCAGCGACGCCGCGUGAGUGAAGAAGUAUUUCGGUAUGUAAAGCUCUAUCAGCAGGGAAGAUGAUGACGGUACCUGACUAAGAAGCCCCGGCUAACUACGUG